AGGAAAACCUCCAUCAGAACCAGGAAGGAAAACCUCCAUCAGGUCCAGUACCAGGAAGAAAAUCUUCCAUCAGGACCAGUACCAGGAAGGAAAAUCUCCAUCAGGACCAAAACCAGGAAGGAAAACCUCCAUCAG